UUCUCCAGGGGCAUUGCCCUGCUGAAGCCUUUCGCGGCGACUUUAAAUAUACGCGCAGUUCGGAUGGCUUCCAUCCGGGCAACGCCGUCACUGUGCUGGAAGUGUGCCUCGCGGCGAUAACCAGCGGCCGACCCCCCGGGGCGUCGGUUCACAGAUCAAACGAUGGUGGCCGCCGAAGGCGGUUUAGAUAUGACCGAGCCCAGCCGUUCGCAUGGCUGUGACAGCUGUUCCGUAGGUGAACCUGCGGAAGGAUCAUUACCGAGAUUUCGUUUAGGGCUCUGCCCACGCGUCUCCCACCCAUUGUGAACCUUACCAUUGUUGCUUUGGCGGACCAGCAGGUCUAACCCGCCGCCGGCUUUUAGCUGGCGAGUGCCCGCCAGAGUCUAAUUCAAAUUCAUUUAAUUAGUGAUGUCUGAGAAAAAAUAAAUAGCAAAAAACUUUCAACAACGGAUCUCUUGGUUCUG
rnacentral:misc_RNA from 1 species